rnacentral:sRNA from 1 species
ACAACAACAAUAACAAGCAGCCCCACAAUAAGAACAAGACGUAACGACUCCAGCAGAACAACGACAAGAAGGCGGAGGCGCAGCUAACUGAUUCUUUUGGAGAGGACGUGCAAAGGGGUUCGCCCCAAGACCAGGCCGAGAACAAUAAAAACUGCAUCGAGCAGGGCCCGUACUGGUUGGAUCGAAAGAUCACCGCAACGUCAGCGACCAAAGAAAUCCGUUUGCUCUUGGCUCCCGGUGUAGGAGCGCUCCCGACGGCGGUAGCUGAAGGGAACAGGCGAACAACAAGAACAGCACCGCCUGGAUACCAAUAACAACAAAAGCACGCGACAUCAUUCAGAGGGGAGCUUCGGCUCCCCUCAGUGCUUUCAGCGCUUGACCCAGGCAGCCGCA